UACGGAGGGUGCAAGCGUUAUCCGGAUUUACUGGGUUUAAAGGGUGUGUAGGCGGGCUUUUAAGUCAGCGGUGAAAUCUCCGGGCUCAACCCGGAAACUGCCAUUGAUACUAUUAGUCUUGAAUUUUGUUGAGGUAGGCGGAAUAAGUCAUGUAGCGGUGAAAUGCUUAGAUAUGACUUAGAACACCAAUUGCGAAGGCAGCUUGCUAAACAAACAUUGACGCUGAGGCACGAAAGCGUGGGGAUCAAACAGG
rnacentral:rRNA from 1 species